rnacentral:lncRNA from 1 species
CAGGAACGAUCUCCAAUUCUCCACCGGUUGAUCACCAUGAAGAUAGCCAACGCCCUGCUACUCCUGGUCUCCCUCGCUCUCCUGGUGCUACCAUCAUCAGGCACGCGCACGCCGCCGGUGGUAGAAGGUGGCGCGGUGGUGGUGCCAACGGCCGACUGCUCAGGGACGGUGAUCGGGCGGGGCAAGAAGUGCGAGCACCGGAAGUGUGAGGCGGAGUGCCGGCGGCAGCACGAUGGGAUCGGCGCGUGCGCAGCCCUGGGGUGCAGUUGCGCCUUCUGCGUGAGGUAUCCUCCCUCCUCCGUGGAUGCACAGGCAAACCGAUACUGAGUAGUACACUAGUACCAGGUUCAGAGUGUGUACUCACUAGAUAGCAGGUAUCCUUGCAAUGCCCAUUUUCAAAGAUAAUUUGGAUCCGAUCAAAAAAUUGUAGUACAUGAAUGCUUCAGAGCAAAAAAAAGAAAAUCCUUGGUAAUUAACUCGUGGUAACGACUACGUGUGAGUUUAUCAUUUUGAUUCUUGGCCUCACCUCAGCAAAUAUACUUAUCAAGAUGAACUACUGUACAUAUUCUAUACACCAUUCAUUUGAACGGUUUUUAUUUCAGUCAGUUUAAUUUCAUUUUAAAAUCAUAUUCAUGAAUUUUUUAAAGUACUCACAAAUUUGAGAAAUAUUCAUGAAUCUAAAAAUAUUGGAAAAUUUUAGAAAGCUCACUAAUUAGAAAAAUUGGCUGUGAAUUCAAACGAUGUUUGUAAAUGAGAAAAAUAUUUGUGAAACUGAUAAAUGUGUGCAAAUUCAAAAAAUGCUCACGGAUUUGAAGAAAUGGGUUCAUGAAUUUGCAAACAAAUGUUCGUGAAUAAGGAAAAUGUUCACGCAUUCAGAAAAUAAAAUAGGAAUAUGUUAGCAAAUAAAUAAAAUUGUUGAUGAAUUAAAAAACUGUUCACAACACAAAAAGUUGUUCACGAAUUCAUAAAAGUAUGCUGAUGAAUUCAAAAACUGGUUGCAAAAUUAACAAAUGUUCAUGAAUAAGCUUGUUUACAAAUUCAAAUAAAUAUUUAUGGAUUCAAAAAAUAUUUGUAAAUACGAAGUAUUGUUCUUGCAUUCAAAAAAAAUCACGAGUUCAGAUAUUUUGGCAAAUACAAAAAGGUGUGGGAAUUCAAAAUUUGUUCAUGAAUGUAAAUUGUUUGCGAGCAUGAAAAUGUUCACCAUCUCAAUAAAUGUUUGUUAAUUUUAAAAAAUUGUGAACACGAAAUAUGUUUUGGAUUAAAAAAAUGCUUGCUAAUUCAAAGUAAUUCACGAAUCUGAAAACGAGAAAGAAAAUGUACGGAAGGGAAAAAAGAAAUAUUGAGAAAGAACGAAAAGGAAAAAGGCGGCGGCGGGGCGGGCGGGGGGGGGGGGUGAGGAAAAAGAGAAAAAAUGGAAUUAAAUGGUGAUGAGAAUAGGAAAUUAGGGGAAACACUAUAAAGAAAAGAAAAGGAAAAAAUUGCCAGAAGCUUCUCCAAACCAUGGUACCCUACUGGACGGACCCGCUUAUAUCCCUUCCACUGAGCGAUACAUAUUAAUGGGAGGUGCGAUGUAUCAGUUCUUGCGACUAGCACACUCGCAUCACUCACGCCACGGACAUCAGUUCGCUUAGUAAGCAACACAUCCGCAUGGGCCAUGUCGGCACAUUGGCGCGUUUGAUCGCUAGCACCAGUAUACUAGGCACGGUUUGAUUAUCUUUUUUUUACUUGUAUUUCAAAUUCAAUUAAUUUUAAAUAAAACACCGUGUCCGUUGUUUUCACUUUUUUAUUUGGGUGGGUUUAUUUUAGAUUGAUAAGCGCUCAUGAAUUUAAACAUGUUCUUGAAUUUAAAAAACAAUCAUGAAUUUAGAAAUGUCCAUGAAUUUUAAAAAAUGUUCAUAAAUUCAAAAUAAGUUAGCAAAUUUGAAAAGUAUAUGUGAAAUGGGAAAAAUUUCAAGACUUUAUCUUUUUCAUUGAUUCAUUUUUGUGAAUUCUAAAAAUAUUUGUGAAUUAUUUUUUUUUUCAAAAAUUUGCAAAUGAUUGGAAAUUCAAAUAAGUUUAUUAAUUUGAAUGACAUGAAUUAAACAAUAAGUUUACAAUAUUUUAUAAAAUUCAAGAAUUCAAAAUAAUAUUGGUGAAAUUAAAAUUAUUCAAAAGUUGUAAAAAUACUCAUGAAUUAGUUUUAUUAUUAAUUCAAAUAAUUUUCAUGAAUUUUAAAAGGUUACCAAAAUUUAAAAAUGUGCGUGCAUUCAAAUAAUGUUCAUGAAUUCAAAAAAGUUUGUGAAAAUUCAAAGAAAUUUUGUGAAAUUUAAAAAGUUCACAAUUUAAAAACAGAUGUGAAUGCAACAUUUUCAUGAAAUUAAAAAAGGUGAAUUUAAAAAAAUAAAAAUAAAAUAAAAUAAGAACAUAGAAUAGAAAAGGAAGACGAUAGAUAAGGAAAAAACAGAAAAAUGGGAAAUAAAGAUAAAAAUAAAACUAGAAAAUCCCUGUUAAAAACCAUGACCAAAUAGAAAACCAUAAGACUGGGUGAAUAAAAUAGUGAAAUACCCAUAUGGGAGGUUUCCCAAACCAUGUGGAACCUUCAUCAUACUGUUCUGCACGAAAUCGUUGCGAACGUCUUAAAUGGGUUGGCUCACCUUCGUAUGCUAGCGACCAAUCACAUGAUUAGCGAUACAUAUCAAUUGCGGGUGACAAUCAUCCCUCUACUAUAACGGGCAUCUAGUUGCUUGCGAGCAAGGAAGUACACACUAAUACGAUCCGAAUAUGCAGACAUUGGUUUCUCAGAAUACUGGUGAUCGGUUCAAUACCAAUUUUCUUCUUCCAAGAUUCACAUAAAAAUUUGUGUUCUUGGGUAGUGUAGUUUUCAUUUCUCCCCUUUGGAGUUGUUUCAAGAAAACCCUCCUCUUCCAUGUCAAGAUGGGCUUCAUCUUGCGUUUCAUAUUCUUGAGAGACAAACUCUUGAGAUGCAACAUUUGUGUAUUCCCAAAAUGUUUGAUCAUCCACAUUAUAUACACGGGCAUCACAUCUCAAUUGCAUACAUAUACAAUCUAUGACAAGGAAUGAAAAAAAUUGGAGUCCAUUUUUAUCGUUUUACGUUUCAGUCAUUUCGUCAAAGAUGUUGGGGGAAGCAAGAGGCUAUGGCAGCCGAUGACAAUGGCUCCACCAUAUGCGGUGGUGAGAAGUCAGGGGAAGAGGCCCCUGGCUAUUCAGGAGUUGCUACUAUCAUCGUGGAAGGUUUUGGUGGCGGCAGGGGGCAACCUUCUUCUUCUUGUUGCAGCUAGAAAGUCACUACUGACGGAUCCCGCACCAGCCUCUUCCUAGAAGUGGCGGUGGACGUGCGUGGCUUUGGGGGAGCCUUGGUGGCAACUGUGUGAUAGUACGCAUCCCCACCAGCCACGGUGGUGGACUGGCUUCAGCUUGCUGCCACUGCGGCUGGGAACCAUGGCAAGGACUACUGUGGGUCUGGCAUUGAGUCCGGCGGGGAUAUCGGGGUGGCGUUCCAUGGUGAAUUGGUGGCUUACUGUUGGAUCGGCUGGGGGCGGUGGGACAACGGGAAACUUCCACGAGGCAGUUGGGAGUGCGCCGAACAAUUUGGGUUUUUACGGAUCCCGCAUGGGUGUUGCAAUAUGCAACACUUUGGGACGCCCAAUUUUUUUACAUCACUAUUUGCAUAUAGGGCAUAUGUCGGAGCAUUAUUUUUGACCCAAAGUGACGUAAAUUGCAAUCUCUUUUAUCACAGUGGAGUUUUUCAUCGUCUGUUGGAGAUGCUCUUACAACUUUUCGCUUCGUCUGGGUGAUGUGGUCGGGAUGCGGCUUGAUGUGCUUUUAAUGCAAGUACACCUUGCGAGAGGGGCGGUUGAGUCGACGGUGUCUACUGUCUGAGCUCAUGGUACCCACCACUUGUCGGUGUAUGUUCAUACAUAAGAUUGGAAGCAUUAGGGUGGACUUAUUUGGCGACGACAAAUUUGACACAACCAUUGUUCUCAGGUGUGAUGGUGUUGAUGAAGACAACAUGUGAUGCAGCCCCAUGGCCCCUGCUUGGUAGUAUGUUGCCUCCAUCGAGGUAAUGUAGUCAGAAUAGGUCACUAGAUAGUUGGGGUUAUACCGCAUACCGUUGGUAGUGCCCCGACCUAAUCAUCUUCUCCCAUGAAGAUGUUGGCAGGGAUGGAAGUGUUUUUUAAAAACCUGGCAGGGAUGGAAGUGUUGAUUUAGAUCCAGCGAACUCAUUCCUCUCACCAAAGGAGUUGAUGGUGUUGAUGAAAAUGACAUCAACAUUGACGUCGAUGUUGUUUCCUUGAUCCAAUCCGAUAUCGUGAAGGUCCCCAUGACCGGUGCCAAAUAUCGACGGUGUUUCGUAAAGUACCAGAACAUUAGUACAAUGACAACAUGGAUUUAUAUAACAGUGGGACGUAGCUUCCAGUUAUUGAAUGGACACACUCACCACACGGAUAAAAAAUUAGGAAAACACCGACAUCAGGGAUCGAACCUGCGCCCAGUGUAGGUAAGCAACCAUGCACACUACAUAACUUCUAAUGUAGUAAAUUGUACGUGCAUUCACCUUUAUAAAAAUACUCCCUCCAUCUCAAAUUACUUGUCGCAGAAAUGGACAAAGUAAUUUGGGACGGAGGGAGUAUAUAUAAUAGCAAUGAGAAAAAUGCAUCCUUAACAUUUUAUUUCCUCAUGCGAAUCAUAAAAAGGAAAAAAAAGAUUACUGGACUGACAAGGAUAAAAAGGCUGUAUCUAGAACAAAAACACAUCCAUUUCCGCGAUAAGUAAUUCCGGACAGAGGGAAAUAAUAGCAAUGCGAAAAAUGCAUCGUUAACAUUUUAUUUCCUCAUGCAAAUUAUAAAAGGAAAAAAAUCACAGAAGUGGAGCACUGGCAAGGAAAAAAAGAAACAAAAAUACUAGGAAAAAAAACCGUCGACAGCAGGGAUCGAACCUGCGCGGGCGAAGCCCAACAGAUUUCAAGUCUGUCUCCUUAACCACUCGGACAUAUCGACCAUGCAUGCGCCAGUUUCCUUCAGCCUUUAUAAUAACGGUAGUUUUCAGUGACCAGAUUUACACGGACCAACUUUUAGCUCGUCAUGGAGGCAGCACGAGUCGUUCAUCUAGAAUCAUCGCUUCUGUUUAUUUAUCAAUAUAUAUAUAUAUAUAUAUAUAUAUAUAUAUAUAUAUAUAUAUAUAUAUAUUAUCAGGGGCUGAGAUUUUUCGGUUCAGAAUAGCGCGGCACGUGCAUUGGCGAUGGAGAUGUGUUGGUGGUAGCCUUAUUGUUGUGGACCUGUCUGUCGAGUGUCCACCGUUGCCGUGCAUCAACCACUCGUCCGUGCCCCGCUGUCCCACUCCGACAUGGAUGGGUUCCACGCAACAGAAUAAAAUCCUAGUCACCCUCAAAAUAAAGAAAAGAAUAAGAUCCUAGUCCUUGAUGGAUCGCGGCCUGGCUGUAUUCCACCUGAUGAAACAAUAAUGGUAGUAAUAUUACAAAAUUAAUUUUCACGGUCAAAUUUAGGCAGCAUUUUUCAUCUCAUUUCACUUGCAUCGAUCACCAUAUAUGAGAGGAUAAUAAUACUGACACUGACAUGGAAGGGGGGAAUUAUAGACAUUUUUUAAAAAAUUGUUUGAAUUGCUUACCACGGCCUGGCUGUACUUUGCGGACCAGAUUAUUUCUUUUGCUGAACUUUAUUUAAUAAAGUCGUCGCAUGCAUCUUUUCGAUGCAGAGACCGGGGAUGUCCUCUUUUUCAAAAAUAAAAUAAAAUAUCCAUCAAUUGUGUAACCGUAACGUCACCAAAAAUUCGAAAAUCCAAGUGUGUUGCAAACUGUCAGUGGCAAGGGACGAGCCGUAUUAGCUCUUGCAGAUAGUACAUCAUUGAAUGUAGGCCACGAAGAGCAACUCCAACGGGCCGACCCAAAUAUACGGCGAUUUCGUCCGUUUUUUGUUCGUUUGGGUCGGUCGUCCACCCGGCGUCCGUCCUGUUUUUCAUAUGGGUCAGCAAUGCGCCAAACACGCCGACCCAUAUAUGUAGGCGUGGCCGGCUGGCCGCCUAAUUUUGCAUUGCAUUCAAUGUAUGGUGAAAUGAAAAUUUAAUGAACAAAAUAGUCCGCCCAAAUAAAUAAUAUAGUUUACAGGCCAAAUAAAAAUAAAAAUGUUUCACAUAGUUUUGCAAACAAAUAAAAAAA